GUCUCCAUAGUGUAGUGGUUAUCACAUUUGCCUAACGUGUAAAAGGUCCUUGGUUUGAAACCAAGUGGAAACA